CCUGUGCACGUAGUUGUGAGAGUGGAGAUGUGCGAGCCCGCGGGCGAUCUCCAGGCCCAUCCUCUGCAGUGUCCGCAGAUCUCGAGGGGGCAGCUCAGGGGACAGACCCUCGGGGGGCCGCUGGGCCCGGAGGUGGCGAGCUUUACAAGACAAGGAUUUGGGGCUUUUGUGUGCGUGGCCAUGUUCCCGGUGCCUAGACUAGCAGGGGACCGAAGAAGGGACCACCGUCACAGACCCUGUGCCAGGCAAAGGCCCAUUUUGUAUCCUCUCAGCUGCCCUCUACAUGAGGCUGCUCAGGCUUCCUGGACUCACUUUCUAGAUGAAGGUACUGAGGUUCAGAGUGGAGCCUUCUCCACUCUGAUUUCCAGCUCAGCUUUUGCGCUGUUUCCUUCGCUUGCAUCACACUGCCUUCAUGUCCCUGCCUCUGGCCCGAGGAAGACCCCGAGGCUCAGGGAGGGAAAUGAUCUAGAUUGACUGGCACAGCCAGGAAAAGGUACAUCUAGGAUUAGAAUCCAGAGUUGACCCCACACUGUACUCCUCCUGCUCCCAAACGUUACUGCCAUGAAGCACAGACUCAGAUAUUCGGGCCUUCAGGGCUCCAUGUCUACCCAGAGGUCCCCAUACCUGUACGGCUGUGCUUCGGAGAUGAACUUGCGCUGCUCCAGGGGCCCUGCGCUGGCUCGGAGUUCCUUCACCACCACCUGGGCCGGGGUGUAGUCGGAGAAAAUCUCUCCCAGGAUCACCUGCUCGAGGAGGACCCAGGAAUCAGUGCCUGCGGAUUCCCCAGCCCCAUCCCAGGGAGUGCCCUCCACCCCACCGGAUGGCUCCCAACUUCCCUCUCCUUUCCAGCCUCUUCUUUCAACUCCCACCACCCUCGUAUCCCCACCAGACGUGGGGUGGGAGACUCACAGGCCCAGAGUCCGAUGGAC